AUUGAACGCUAGCGGGAUGCCUUACACAUGCAAGUCGAACGGCGUGGCGAACGGGUGAGUGAUGUAUCGGAACGUACCCAUUAGCGGGGGAUAACUACGCGAAAGCGUAGCUAAUACCGCAUACUAUUGGAGCGGCCGCUGUGGGAUUAGCUAGGUGGUGGGGUAACGGCUCACCAAGGCGACGAUCCGUAGCUGGUUUGAGAGGACGACCAGCCACACUGGGACUGAGACACGGCCCAGACUCCUACGGGAGGCAGCAGUGGGGAAUUUUGGACAAUGGGGGAAACCCUGAUCCAGCCAUCCCGCGUGUGGGAUGAAGGCCUUCGGGUUGUAAAGCACUUUUGGCAGGAAAGCGGUACCUGCAGAAUAAGCACCGGCUAACUACGUGCCAGCAGCCGCGGUAAUUC
rnacentral:rRNA from 1 species